AAUAUUGCACAAUGGGCCAAAGCCUGAUGCAGCAACGCCGCGUGAGCGAUGAAGGCUUUCGAGUCGUAAAGCCCUGUCCGAAGGGAACAUAAUGACGGUACCUUAGGAGGAAGCCUCGGCUAACUACGUGCCAGCAGCCGCGGUAACACGUAGGGGGCAAGCGUUAUCCGGAAUCAUUGGGCGUAAAGGGUGCGUAGGCGGCCCUAUAGGUCAGAGGACAAAGGCUACGGCUCAACCGUAGUAAGCCUUUGAAACUGUAGGGCUUGAGUGCAGAGGAGGAGAGUGGAAUUCCUAGUGUAGCGGUGAAAUGCGUAGAUAUUAGGAGGAACACCAGUGGCGAAGGCGACUCUCUGGACUGCAACUGACGCUGAGGCACGAAAGCGUGGGGAGCGAACAGG
rnacentral:rRNA from 1 species